rnacentral:lncRNA from 1 species
UCAUUCUCUAAUAAGCACCCACAUCCUUGUAUUAGUGUCGUCACACAAGUGGUUGUGAGAUCAACCACCCUCAUCACUGAGCAUACAUAGGACAUAUUAGUCUUACCGGUAUCAUUGAUCUCCGACUCAAUGAAUCAAUGACUGAGAAUAUUUUAGGUCAUAGCUAUCAAAGAUUUAGGUCUCACUGGAGUGAUCUCAUCAUGGUCCUAAAACCAUUGCCCAACCUAUGGGGUUCAUUAUAAUCUUAAAAAUAAUA